rfam:Piromyces finnis strain finn BCR36scaffold_6, whole genome shotgun sequence.
GGCUAAGUGGCGGAGAGGUUAACGCGUCAGGUUUAGGCCCUGGUCACACAUGUGGCGUGGGUUCGAAUCCCACCUUAGUCA